AGAGUUUGAUCCUGGCUCAGGAUGAACGCUAGCUACAGGCUUAACACAUGCAAGUCGAGGGGUAACGAUAUUGAAAGCUUGCUUUCGAUAGGCGACGACCGGCGCACGGGUGAGUAACGCGUAUCCAACCUGCCCAUAACUAAGGGAUAAUCCGUAGAAAUGCGGUCUAAUACCUUAUGUGUUCCGACGAGGACAUCUGAAUUGGAAUAAAGAUUUAUCGGUUAUGGAUGGGGAUGCGUCUGAUUAGAUUGUUGGCGGGGCAACGGCCCACCAAGUCUACGAUCAGUAGGGGUUCUGAGAGGAAGGUCCCCCACAUUGGAACUGAGCCAGGAUCAAACUCUAAUCGCUAGUGAGNUC
rnacentral:rRNA from 1 species